rnacentral:rRNA from 1 species
AACGAACGCUGGCGGCAGGCCUAACACAUGCAAGUCGAACGCCGUAGCAAUACGGAGUGGCAGACGGGUGAGUAACGCGUGGGAACCUUCCCUAUGGUUCGGAAUAGCUCAGGGAAACCUGGGGUAAUACCGGAUAAGCCCUUCGGGGGAAAGAUUUAUCGCCAUUGGAUGGGCCCGCGUCGGAUUAGCUAGUUGGUGAGGUAACGGCUCACCAAGGCGACGAUCCGUAGCUGGUCUGAGAGGAUGAUCAGCCACACUGGGACUGAGACACGGCCCAGACUCCUACGGGAGGCAGCAGUGGGGAAUAUUGGACAAUGGGCGAAAGCCUGAUCCAGCCAUGCCGCGUGAGUGACGAAGGCCUUAGGGUUGUAAAGCUCUUUUGGCGGGGAAGAUAAUGACGGUACCCGCAGAAUAAGCUCCGGCUAACUUCGUGCCAGCCGCCGCAGUAAUAC